AGUGAACGCUGGCGGUAGGCCUAACACAUGCAAGUCGAACGGCAGCACAGUAAGAGCUUGCUCUUACGGGUGACGAGUGGCGGACGGGUGAGGAAUACAUCGGAAUCUACUUUUUCGUGGGGGAUAACGUAGGGAAACUUACGCUAAUACCGCAUACGACCUACGGGUGAAAGCAGGGGAUCUUCGGACCUUGCGCGAUUGAAUGAGCCGAUGUCGGAUUAGCUAGUUGGCGGGGUAAAGGCCCACCAAGGCGACGAUCCGUAGCUGGUCUGAGAGGAUGAUCAGCCACACUGGAACUGAGACACGGUCCAGACUCCUACGGGAGGCAGCAGUGGGGAAUAUUGGGCAAUGGGCGAAAGCCUGAUCCAGCCAUACCGCGUGGGUGAAGAAGGCCUUCGGGUUGUAAAGCCCUUUUGUUGGGAAAGAAAAGCAGCAGGUGAAUACCCCGCUGUUCUGACGGUACCCAAAGAAUAAGCACCGGCUAACUUCGUG
rnacentral:rRNA from 1 species